AGAGUUUGAUCAUGGCUCAGAUUGAACGCUGGCGGCAUGCUUUACACAUGCAAGUCGAGCGGCAGCGCGGGGGCAACCCUGGCGGCGAGCGGCGGACGGGUGAGUAAUGCAUCGGAACGUAUCCCGUAGUGGGGGACAACCCAGCGAAGGCUGGGCUAAUACCGCAUAUGCUCUACGGAGGAAAGUGGGGGACCCGCAAGGGCCUCACGCUAUGGGAGCGGCCGAUGUCCGAUUAGCUAGUUGGUGGGGUAAAGGCCUACCAAGGCGACGAUCGGUAGCUGGUCUGAGAGGAUGAUCAGCCACACUGGGACUGAGACACGGCCCAGACUCCUACGGGAGGCAGCAGUGGGGAAUUUUGGACAAUGGGGGCAACCCUGAUCCAGCCAUGCCGCGUGCGGGAAGAAGGCCUUCGGGUUGUAAACCGCUUUUGUUCGGGAAGAAAAGGCACGUCCUAAUACGGCGUGUUCUUGACGGUACCGGAAGAAUAAGCACCGGCUAACUACGUG
rnacentral:rRNA from 1 species